rnacentral:rRNA from 1 species
UCUGAAUCUGCGAACGGCUCCGCAAACCAGUUGUAAACUAUAGCAAGCAAGCCCGGGAUCGGCCUUCACGGGCUGGUUCCGGGUGAUAUGGAUAACCCUGGUAAUUCUGAGGCUAAUACAUGACCGUAAAACCUAGCUGACCGGCUUCGGCUGGGAUGCUGGGGGACGUGUGAUUUGGGCUUGGUAACACCGGGAAGGGGCGCACGUCUAGACCACGCUAUAAAGGUCGGUUUCCCCUUCGGGGGGGGCUGUCCCAGUGGCUCUUGCUGUGUGCUUCUGACCUAUCAACUAGACGGCAGCGUAAGGGACAUGCUAUGGU